rnacentral:rRNA from 1 species
AGUGAACGCUGGCGGUAGGCCUAACACAUGCAAGUCGAACGGCAGCACAGUAAGAGCUUGCUCUUACGGGUGGCGAGUGGCGGACGGGUGAGGAAUACAUCGGAAUCUACUUUUUCGUGGGGGAUAACGUAGGGAAACUUACGCUAAUACCGCAUACGACCUACGGGUGAAAGCAGGGGAUCUUCGGACCUUGCGCGAUUGAAUGAGCCGAUGUCGGAUUAGCUAGUUGGCGGGGUAAAGGCCCACCAAGGCGACGAUCCGUAGCUGGUCUGAGAGGAUGCUUGGCCACUCUGGAAAUGAGCAACGGUCGAGAGCAGUACGGGAAGCAGCAGUGGUGAAGAUGGGGCAGUGGGCGGAAGCGUGAGCCAGCUCUACGGAGUGAGUGAAGAAGGCCUUCUGGUUGUAAGGCCGUUUUGUUGGGAAAGAAAACCAGCAGCUUAAUGCCCCGGUGCUCUAAGGGUACCCAAAGAACAAGCACGGACUAACGUCGU